rnacentral:rRNA from 1 species
UGCAGUCGACGCCCCGCAAGGGGAGUGGCAGACGGGUGAGUAACGCGUGGGAACAUACCCUUUCCUGCGGAAUAGCUCCGGGAAACUGGAAUUAAUACCGCAUACGCCCUACGGGGGAAAGAUUUAUCGGGGAAGGAUUGGCCCGCGUUGGAUUAGCUAGUUGGUGGGGUAAAGGCCUACCAAGGCGACGAUCCAUAGCUGGUCUGAGAGGAUGAUCAGCCACAUUGGGACUGAGACACGGCCCAAACUCCUACGGGAGGCAGCAGUGGGGAAUAUUGGACAAUGGGCGCAAGCCUGAUCCAGCCAUGCCGCGUGAGUGAUGAAGGCCUUAGGGUUGUAAAGCUCUUUCACCGGAGAAGAUAAUGACGGUAUCCGGAGAAGAAGCCCCGGCUAACUUCGUGCCAGCAGCCGCGGUAAUACGAAGGGGGCUAGCGUUGUUCGGAAUUACUGGGCGUAAAGCGCACGUAGGCGGAUAUUUAAGUCAGGGGUGAAAUCCCAGAGCUCAACUCUGGAACUGCCUUUGAUACUGGGUAUCUUGAGUAUGGAAGAGGUAAGUGCAAUUCCCAGUGUAGAGGUGAAAUUCGUAGAUAUUCCGAGGAACCCC